rnacentral:rRNA from 1 species
UACGGGGGGGGCAAGCGUUGUUCGGAAUUACUGGGCGUAAAGGGUUUGUAGGUGGCCCGCUAAGUCACACGUGAAAUCCCUCAGCUUAACUGGGGAACUGCGUGUGAGACUGGCAGGCUCGAGGGCAGGAGAGGAACGCGGAAUUCCAGGUGUAGCGGUGAAAUGCGUAGAUAUCUGGGGGAACACCGGUGGCGAAGGCGGCGUUCUGGACUGUCUCUGACACUGAAGAACGAAAGCCAGGGGAGCAAACGGG